GAGCCACAUCAUGGUUCGACUGUUUCUGAAACUUUAUUUCAUCUUCCAAUAUUUUUUGAGUAUUAUCCAUGUCUGUAGAUUGAAACUUCAAGUUUUCAGGAGCUUUCUGUUUGCCCAUUGAUUCCUUUAAGAGGACUUUCAAGUGUUCAAUUUCUUGCUUGAGCUCGUCACAGAUUUGCCAAUUGUUGUGACUGGUCAGCAAAUUCCUUCAUCAAUAAUUCCUGAUCAAGCAUUAACUUUCGAGCAUUUCGUUCCCACAUCCUAGCUGCUGCCCGAAGUUCUUCAAUUGUGACCUCUGCAGUUUCCAGAAAAUUUCUAGACGAACCCAGCACUUUUCAAGGGUGAUGUGAUAAUAGCAUGCAAGAUUUGACCAGAGUCAUAUCUGUGAUUCUGAAGAUGCCUUCCUGAACCGGAGAUGAGUGAAUUAGAUGAGUGAUUUGAAUGAGGAGAAUCAUAGAUAGAAAGUGUUAAGAUUUAUUAUUUAUUUAUUUAAGUUUAGUAGCUCUAGUUUGUCUUAGCCUUUAGGGAUUUUCUCAGUU
rnacentral:lncRNA from 1 species